rnacentral:rRNA from 1 species
UACGUAGGAUGCAAGCGUUGUCCGGAUUUACUGGGUUUAAAGGGUGCGUAGGCGGCUUAUUAAGUUAGUGGUGAAAACGUUCGGCUUAACCGGAUACCCGCCAUUGAUACUGAUAGACUUGAGUGCGACAGAGGGUGUUGGAAUGUGUGGUGUAGCGGUGAAAUGCUUAGAUAUCACGCAGAACACCGAUUGCGAAGGCAGAUGCCUAUGUCGUAACUGACGCUGAGGCACGAAAGCGUGGGGAGCAAACAGG